UACGGGGGGAGCAAGCGUUGUUCGGAUUUACUGGGCGUAAAGGGCGCGUAGGCGGCGCAACAAGUCACUUGUGAAAUCUCCGGGCUUAACUCGGAAAAGUCAAGUGAUACUGUUGUGCUAGAGUGCGGAAGGGGCAACUGGAAUUCUCGGUGUAGCGGUGAAAUGCGUAGAUAUCGAGAGGAACACCUGCGGCGAAGGCGGGUUGCUGGGCCGACACUGACGCUGAUGCGCGAAAGCCAGGGGAGCGAACAGG
rnacentral:rRNA from 1 species